GGUUCUUCUUCCCAGGAGCACAGUUCAUCAUUUUCCCCUACAGAAGAAUUUACAAAGACUGGAAAGAACAAGGCAGGGAGGACCAUGGAUCACUGAAGGCCUUAGGGAUGGAAAGAAGAGGAGACACAAGCAACACAACACAGUGGGUGCUAUAACAUGAGAAAUUUAUUUCUCGUGGUUGAUGGACUAGAAAGUCAAAGGUCAGGUCCAAGUUGACUUGUCCCCAGUGAAGGCUCUUCCUAUCCCUGGUUGGAAGAGAGCUGCCACCUCUCUGUAUGUGCAUAAGAACUUUCAUCUCAUCCUGUGUGGGAAGAGAAGCAGAGGGGAAAGAAGAAAGAAGAAACAAGAAAGAGGAGAGAUAGUCUCCUAUAAGGCUGCUAAGAAGGCCCUGUCAUCAUGUCAUGGAUUUUCAGUCACUCCCCAGAGCCCCCAUUGGAAAAGUGAUCGUAGCUUCAGCACAGGCUCUCAAGAGGACUCAACCAUCCAUCCAGGAGUCACUUACAUCUUACAAGUGUUGGGUGAUGCUCUGCUUACUUCCUUCAGUGACCAGUUUCACUGUCAUCACUGAAUCUAAACAACGUAUUUUAAAAGAGACAUGUUUUCUUUGUGUGCAUAACUCACAUAGAGAUAUAUAUGUGCAUACACAGAUGACUAUAUAAAUAUGUGAGUAAAUUCAUAAACUAUAAAAUGUAUCUAUACAUUAAUAAAUAGGGCUUGUUGGAAAUAGCUUUCAGAAAAAUCUAGAAAUAUUAUUCAAGAAGAUUUCAAAUAGAAAUGGAAAAUGUAAGGUAAUGUCUUGCUAUAUUGAAAAGUAUAUUUAUAUUAUUCUUUGUCUCAAGGAAAGGAGGUUUCUUUUGUUUUGUUUUGUUUUUUAAGGGUUCUUUCCAAUUCCUUUGAAACUAGAAUUACAGGCAGUUGUGAGCCACUUGGCAUGGGUGCUGGGAACCAAACUUAGAUACUCUGGAAGAGCAGCAAGAGUUCUUUACUGCUGAGCCAUCUUCAGCCCAGAAGGGCAGACUCUUCAAACCAUUUUUUGAAAUAUAUGGAUACACACAUUUUGUCUGCUAAUUCAUCUGUUUAAUAUAUUUUGUUGUUUU
rnacentral:lncRNA from 1 species